CCUGCCUCUAGAGGCACUGCAGGUAUGGCUGCUCUGUGAUGUGUGCAUCAGUUGGUGGAAGACAGGAGAGAGGCUAUGUCUAUGCUAGUGACCUAUGACCAUCUGAAUUAUUAGUAGCCCAUCAUU